UACGUAGGGGCAAGCGUUGUCCGGAUUUAUUGGGCGUAAAGCGCUCGCAGGUGGUCCGAUGCGUCGUGCGUGAAAGACCCCGGCUCAACCUCGGGCUUGCAGUGGGUACGGGCAGACUAGAGUGCGGUAGGGGUGACUGGAAUUCCUGGUGUAGCGGUGGAAUGCGCAGAUAUCAGGAGGAACACCGGUGGCGAAGGCGGGUCUCUGGGCCGAUACUGACGCUGGAGGAGCGAAAGCGUGGGGAGCAAACAGG
rnacentral:rRNA from 1 species